AUCCAUCCUGUGGGCAGCUCAGAGAUAAGCCUGCCUAGAACAGAGCCUGCAGCCAGAUUCCGAGCUGUGAGCCGAAGACUGAGUCAGAUCAGGAGGUCAGAAUGGGAUCUGCUGGAAAGAGAUGUUUUGUGAGAUGGAUCUGAAGCAGGGAACAGAAACCUAGGCUGGCUGGGUGUGAAGAUGGGGAGCAAUGACUGCGUAUGGAAAAUUGGAGUUGAAACUGGGACUAGACAGCCAGCUAGCUGAGAACAGCUGCUGCAUCUGUACUUACUUGCUCUGCAGCAUAUCUCAGGGCCCUCAUUUCCUGGUCAUCUGAAUUGUUGGGCCUGUUGGGGCACGCUGCGGCUCCCAUCCAGCAUACGCAUCCAGGUUUCUAUCCUAGCAUGGAGCUGGAGCAUGACUAAGUGUACAUCCAGACAUGGGAACUAGGAAGAACUCUGAGGUCUAAUGAUGUAAAUACAGACAGUAUGUCUAGAUAAGGAGCUUGAGAAAGCAAGACAGUGACUACAUGACCACGGCUUGCUAAUGCAGACAAACAGUUUGGGCAUGACGGAGAGCUGGAUGGGUUAAGAAGAGGCAACAGGAUGAAGCGUCAGAGCUGGGGGACUCUUGUGGCAAAACUAUGGGAGAGGGAAGCAAGCUGAGGAGUGAUGCAGAGCUGGGUGGACCAGGGGGCAGAGCAGACAUGGCAUAGCUGCACAGAAGGACUGUGGGCUGGGUACUGUGGCAGACACUGCCUGAGACGAGGUCCACAAUGGAGCUGUAUGACCAGGCUGGGACAUAGUCUGUGCUCCUCUGCGCACAGCUUCUUCCUCCAUAUUCCCUGCAGUCUGCCCUGUCUUCAAAUGGGAUGAGCAAUCGCUGCUGAACCCGAGCUAAGCGAUGUGCAUGUUCUGGCUGGGAGCAGGAGCACAAGCAGGAACAGCCAGGGCUGCUGCUCAACUGAUGGCUGGGUUGGACCAACAGGGGCAGCCAGAGCUUCGGGAGCAGUGAGAAAUAUGAAAUAAGCAUGAGACGGAUGGGCAGAUGAAAUGGGAAACGCAGAGACCCGGAAAGAAAAGUAAAGCUGAGAGAGAAGGAAUUCUGCUUUGACAAGCUGCACCUAAAAUUACAUUCCAGGAUGCUCUCUGCUAGCACGUGCGGAGGUUCUCCUGCAGAUAUAAAUCAUUAUUUUAGCUUGACCAAUUGAAAAGUUUCUUUUCCUAAUUAGCUUUGUUGCUGUAAUGUAAAUGCCCUUCCUUCUCCAUACAACUCUCACUCUCUCUUCAGAUUUUUUUGAAGAUGUAAAGAUAAUACCUACUCUUUGGAAAGUGAAUUUAAUUGUGGCAUUUUCCCUCAGUACGUAUACAUAGCAAGGAGAACAGACAUUUAAAUUUCUCUGUUUGUUUAGAAAUUUUGUGAGGAAAUGUAGAAAUACGCAUUUUGUCCUCCCCCUUCUGCUCCUCAGCUAACCCUGUGGAACUCACUGGCAUGAAUCAAAAGCGUUUGCCAGGAGUCAGAAUUAAAUUGAAUAUUCAAGAGAGCAAGCACACAUACACAUACACACAUGCCAAUAUAUAUUUGCAUAUGUAUUUAUAUAUAAACAGUAACUAUUUUUAAAAAGCACAAUACCAACAUCAAAUAAAUCUUUGGAACCACCGUAGAUGGGACUUUAUAGACCUCUCUGCCUGGUCUGCCAUGAAUUUCUACAAUGGCCUGUAUCAGCUCAAAUCCCAAAUCCUCAACAACAACCAUUUUUGGAGGUGCUAGAAACACGGCAGAUGACAACAUAAUUGUUAGUGGUAAAGGAGAAGAGGAAUAAGUAAACAUAAGCAAACUAUGCAAGACACUUUAUUAAAAGCAUACCCAUUGGGCUGCUUCUCCUGCUUACAGCGGCCAAUAAAUUCCCCCUGCCUUCAUACACUUAAAGUGCCAGGAUACAUUAUUCAGCACAUGAGUAAUUCACCACAUUCUUCUGGAUACUAGUCACUCUUUGAGCUGGACUCUCUUUCGUGAAGUUCAAUGGCAAAACCAUUACUGUGGUUAUACAGCAUGGCAGAGCCUCGUGGCACCUUACAGACCUGAGUACAACAAGGAUCCUUGAGAGGUUCACAUGUGGUGAAGGCCACAGGACUGCCACAUGGGUGGCACCUUAACAGAGCCGAUUACAAGGAUCCUUGAGAAGAUCCCAUGUAAUGAAGGACACAGGAUCUCCAUGUGGGCACAGAGGCACCUCUGUGGAGGACCAGGCCCUCAACUAAUAUAAAAACCACAGGAAGGAACUCAGCACCCAAUGAAGAGACAGUGAGGCUUUCACAUGAUCACUGGAAAAUCCAGUUUGCCAACUGGAUUUUCCCUCUUCACGUGGAAUGAUAAUUUGAGUGUUGAAUGAUAAUUUGAGAGCUGGAUCUGAGAGCUGCCUCAGUACCUCAGGGGACUCUGCCCAACUGCUUCCAAUGAGCAGGCAGGGGCUGUGGCAAUGUAGACUUUUCUGGCUGGUGUUGAGAUUGGCUGUGCUGUUCAACUGUUAACACCACAUACUGGGGAUGUAGCACUCAUCAGUAAAGCCAGCUUCUCUGCCUUCAGUUUUAUAAUGUAUUCUAGCACAUGCGUUGGCUGUGUGCGUUUCUGUUGGUGUUAGGCUAAACACUGCUGAAGUAGAUGGACAUAAUUAUGGCCUUUCGUUCAAGAUUAAUACAGUGCCAUUAAGCUGUUUAUGCAACCAGGUAGCUGAGCAAGAGAAACAUCUAAAAGUAGUAUGAAGCAAUUUCAGAGGCCGAAACCAUGCAAUCAGUGGGCCCUCGUUGAGAACAGGCAUGGGAAACAUAGAAACCAGAACCGUCUUCAUCCACAGAAGACCGAAACAAUUCCAAAACCUGCUGCCCAUCCAGUCCCAAGCACGACAUGAGCUAUUUGGGCUGAGUGAAGCGGCCAGGCUUAAGGCACCAAAUGGCCUGGAACGCUGCUGUUAUUUACUUCACCCUGUGCUCAGGAAAACAAGCUCUGGUAACUCUUAUGUACCGUGACAGCACAUGAGCGAUUACUGAACGCAGUGCCAACUUCCCCUCCUAGCAGAAAAACUCUAUAAAGAAAUGCAGAACUUUUAAUUGCUGGAUCAAAAAAAAAAAAAAAAAAAAAAGGUAUUGCAGCAGUAAUGCUGCUGGGAAUUACAUUCCAUAUUCUCCAAAACAGUUCUUUAGCACUUGCGGUUGUUCAGUUAGGUUAGACACAGGCAGAUUAUCUUGGUAAUUAACUGGGAUUUCAUUGACUUUACUGAUGACUAUCCUGGGUAUUUUCAAAAAGGAGGAAUUAGUUCAUGUGUGGAACCACUUUUAUGUGAAAUGGGAAAGGCAAAUUAAGAGAGAAAGAAACAAAGAAAAAUCCAAGUUAGAUUAUAAGAACCGGGAUAUACAAGAAAGGAUUCAGGAUCCCCAGUUUGUAGAAUAUGAAAACUGAAUUUUGAGUAAGUUGAUAGUUAAUCUAUCAACUUGGAAUAGUAAACAAAAUUUAAAUUGAAUUUUUCACUGGUUGUAAAAUCAAUUUCUUUUGAAAAGCUCAGUAUACCCAUUUUCUUUAAGCUCGACAGAAAGGAUUGGAAGACAACUGUAACCCCAGAUCUGUACGCACAACUUGAAUUUCUAAAUCAAAUGAUACUUCUGUAUUCCGAGAAAAAAUACUGAAAAGGAGAUGUAGUUUUGGGGGGGAUCUGUAUAAGACUUCUGUGGGGCCCUCCUGGUUUUCUGGAACAUGAAAGGGAUUUUGGGGGGGGAAAGUACUUUUGGGCAACACUAGAUGGGUGUAAACAGCUUUUACCCAUGUUGAAAGUAGGAGAGAACUCCUAUACUUCUUGUAUGCAUGCCGUGAGUAUUUUUCCUUUCCAGCUACACAUCUGUGGAUGGACUACCAGAAUUAUUUUCAGGCUACUGAACACUUCUGUUAAAGUUCUAGUGGCAGAGAAGCACCCUGAAGUAAUAAUCUUUUCACAUUUAUUAUUUUAAGGAGGGCUGGACACAGGAGGGCAAGGUACUUUCCAAAGAGACAACCCCUACUAUGAAGAACAGGCAUUCUUAGCUUAAUAUUGCUGUGACUUCCAGCUCAUCAUGUGAGAACACAAAACUUUAAUUGUCAGGAGCUACAGAGAGCACACACAUGCACAUUAGGCACUUUGUUUUAUUUUGCAAAAAAAAAAAAAGUCUUUUAUAUAUAAACCAUUUCAUUCUCUCUCAAAACAUUCUACAACUAUACAGCUGUUUGCUCCAACAUUUGCAUAGGAAAUACCACAAUACAAAAAUAAGGUAGGGGGGAGGCAAAAGAAGCAAAA